rnacentral:rRNA from 1 species
UGAAGCAGAGCUUGCUCUGUGGAUCAGUGGCGAACGGGUGAGUAACACGUGAGCAAUCUGCCCCUGACUCUGGGAUAAGCGCUGGAAACGGCGUCUAAUACCGGAUACGAGCUGCGAUCGCAUGGUCAGUAGCUGGAAAGAAUUUCGGUCAGGGAUGAGCUCGCGGCCUAUCAGCUUGUUGGUGAGGUAAUGGCUCACCAAGGCGUCGACGGGUAGCCGGCCUGAGAGGGUGACCGGCCACACUGGGACUGAGACACGGCCCAGACUCCUACGGGAGGCAGCAGUGGGGAAUAUUGCACAAUGGGCGGAAGCCUGAUGCAGCAACGCCGCGUGAGGGAUGACGGCCUUCGGGUUGUAAACCUCUUUUAGCAGGGAAGAAGCGAAAGUGACGGUACCUGCAGAAAAAGCGCCGGCUAACUACGUGCCAGCAGCCGCGGUAAUACGUAGGGCGCAAGCGUUAUCCGGAAUUAUUGGGCGUAAAGAGCUCGUAGGCGGUCUGUCGCGUCUGCUGUGAAAACCCGAGGCUCAACCUCGGGCCUGCAGUGGGUACGGGCAGACUAGAGUGCGGUAGGGGAGAUUGGAAUUCCUGGUGUAGCGGUGGAAUGCGCAGAUAUCAGGAGGAACACCGAUGGCGAAGGCAGAUCUCUGGGCCGUAACUGACGCUGAGGAGCGAAAGGGUGGGGAGCAAACAGGCUUAGAUACCCUGGUAGUCCACCCCGUAAACGUUGGGAACUAGUUGUGGGGUCCAUUCCACGGAUUCCGUGACGCAGCUAACGCA